rnacentral:tRNA from 1 species
GGCAGGGUGGCUCAGUUGGUUAGAGCACCGGAUUCAUAAACCGGAGGUCGUGGGUUCGACUCCCACCCCUGCUA